AGCCUGUGAUGUUUUCAGAUAUUAGAGUAGUGGACAGAAGUAAUUUCUGAAAACUCUGCACUGAGGCU
ensembl:snoRNA